CUGGACACUCUAUCGGGAUGGAUGCUCAGGCCCUUGCAAGGCAGCACUGACGGGAGCCACGGCGGAGCAAUGGCCUCGAUAGUGACCGGGCACUGACGGGAGCCACGGAGGAGCAACGGCCUCAAUAGUGACCGGGCACGAGGUGUUUUCACAGAUUCCUUUCAUUUCAACCACCAGCAGUCACAUGAGCUGGGUGCUCCUGGGUGCCCCCUCUAUGGAAUAUGCUGUCCAUGGAUGCAGAUGUGCGUUUGGCCUUUCCUUCACCAUUACGAUUGUCAAAAUUUUGUGCCGAAGCCUCUCUGCCUCAGGACAGGUCCUCUCCCCCACCGCAGCAGGAGGACCCAGCCAGGCCGGCAGAGCAGACAGGAGCCUC
rnacentral:lncRNA from 1 species